UACGUAGGGUGCGAGCGUUAAUCGGAAUUACUGGGCGUAAAGCGUGCGCAGGCGGCGCGUUAAGACAGGUGUGAAAGCCCCGAGCUUAACUUGGGAAUUGCGCUUGUGACUGGCGUUCUGGAGUGUGGCAGAGGGACGCGGAAUUCCAGGUGGAGCGGUGAAAUGCGUAGAGAUCUGGAAGAACACCAAAGGCGAAGGCAGCGUCCUGGGAAGCAUCUGACGCUCAUGUGCGAAAGCUAGGGGAGCGAACGGG
rnacentral:rRNA from 1 species